rnacentral:rRNA from 1 species
UGCCCUAGUAACGGCGAGUGAAGCGGCAACAGCUCAAAUUUGAAAUCUGGCUUUCGGGCCCGAGUUGUAAUUUGUAGAGGAUGAUUUUGAUGCGGUGCCUUCCGAGUUCCCUGGAACGGGACGCCAUAGAGGGUGAGAGCCCCGUCUGGUUGGAUGCCAAAUCUCUGUAAAUCUCCUUCGACGAGUCGAGUAGUUUGGGAAUGCUGCUCUAAAUGGGAGGUAUAUGUCUUCUAAAGCUAAAUACCGGCCAGAGACCGAUAGCGCACAAGUAGAGUGAUCGAAAGAUGAAAAGCACUUUGAAAAGAGAGUUAAAAAGUACGUGAAAUUGUUGAAAGGGAAGCGUUUAUGACCAGACUUGGGCUUGGUUAAUCAUCUGGGGUUCUCUCCAGUGCACUUUUCCAGCCCAGGCCAGCAUCAGUUUUCGCCGGGGGAUAAAGACUUCGGGAAUGUGGCUCCCCUCGGGGAGUGUUAUAGCCCGUUGUGUAAUACCCUGGUGGGGACUGAGGUUCGCGCUUCUGCAAGGAUGCUGGCGUAAUGGUCAUCAACGACCCGUCUUGAAACACGGACCAAGGAGUCGUCUUCGUAUGCGAGUGUUCGGGUGUCAAACCCCUACGCGUAAUGAAAGUGAACGCAGGUGAGAGCUUCGGCGCAUCAUCGACCGAUCCUGAUGUUCUCGGAUGGAUUUGAGUAAGAGCAUACGGGGCCGGACCCGAAAGAAGGUGAACUAUGCCUGUGUAGGGUGAAGCCAGAGGAAACUCUGGUGGAGGCUCGCAGCGGUUCUGACGUGCAAAUCGAUCGUCAAACAUGGGCAUGGGGGCGAAAGACUAAUCGA